AUGGCUGCUACAAUGAUCAGACCUCAUGAGGUUUUGAUUGCUUUUCUAAUCCUAACAGUGAACUGGACAGGUACUGAUGGUCAAACACUGACUGAGUCUCAACCAGUGAUUAAAAGACCUGGAGAAUCCCACAGACUGACCUGCAAAUAUUCUGGGUUUAGUAGCACUCCUCAUGUAGCUUGGAUCAGACAGGCAGCUGGUAAAGGACUGGAAUGGAUUGCUUGGAUCUACUACGACAGCAGAAGCACCUACUACUCUGACUCAGUCAGAAACCGUUUCACCAUCUCCAGAGAGAACAGCAGAAAUCAGGUUUAUCUGCAGAUGAACAGUCUUACAGCUGGAGAUUCUGCUGUUUAUUACUGUGCUCGAGAGACACAGUGA